rnacentral:lncRNA from 1 species
AUUUUGCUCUUCCUUUUUACCUUCCUUAUUGUUACCCUCCCCAAUCUUAUUGUCUACUACACGUCCACUCCUUAGGGUAGUCAGAGCAUUGGCCUGUUCAUGAUGAAUUGUAUUCGGUUGAUUUUCUUGAGCCAUGUAUUGUCCCCUAGGAUUACUCACUGGUUGGCUUGGAAGCUUUCCUUCCUCUCGCUUGUUCAGUGCAUUAGCUAGUUGCCCCAUUUGGGAUUCUAGCUUGGCGAUAGAUUGCGUGUGAGAGUGCAGCAAUUGUGUAAUGGUUUCCAAACCUUGAAGGGAGGUCAACACUUUCUCCUCAAAGGCUGUGUUUCUUUGGGGUGAAGGAGGAGUGU